AAUAGAUACCCCGGUAGUCCUAGCCGUAAACGAUACUCGCUAGGUGUCGGCCACGGUGCGACCGUUGUCGGUGCCGUAGGGAAGCCGUGAAGCGAGCCACCUGGGAAGUACGGCCGCAAGGCUGAAACUUAAAGGAAUUGGCGGGGGAGCACCACAACAGGUGGAGCUUGCGGUUUAAUUGGAUUCAACGCCGGAAAUCUUACCGGGACCGACAGCAAUAUGAAGGCCAGGCUGAAGACUUUGCCGGAUUAGCUGAGAGGUGGUGCAUGGCCGUCGUCAGUUCGUACUGUGAAGCAUCCUGUUAAGUCAGGCAACGAGCGAGACCCACGCCCACAGUUGCCAGCGUACUCUCUGGAGUGACGGGUACACUGCGGGGACCGCCGCUGCUAAAGCGGAGGAAGGAAUGGGCAACGGUAGGUCAGUAUGCCCCGAAUAUCCCGGGCUACACGCGAGCUACAAUGGUUGGUACAAUGGGUAUCUACCCCGGAAAGGGGACGGGAAUCUCCUAAAACCAAUCUUAGUUCGGAUUGAGGGCUGCAACUCGCCCUCA
rnacentral:rRNA from 1 species